GACAGAGGAUGCAAGCGUUAUCCGGAAUGAUUGGGCGUAAAGCGUCUGUAGGUGGCUUUUUAAGUCCGCCGUCAAAUCCCAGGGCUCAACCCUGGACAGGCGGUGGAAACUACCAAGCUGGAGUACGGUAGGGGCAGAGGGAAUUUCCGGUGGAGCGGUGAAAUGCGUAGAGAUCGGGAAGAACAUCAGUGGCGAAGGCGGCCUGCUGGGCUGUUGCUGACGCUGAGGCGCGACAGCGUGGGGAGCAAACAGG
rnacentral:rRNA from 1 species